UACGAAGGAUGCAAGCGUUAUCCGGAUUCACUGGGUUUAAAGGGUGUGCAGGCGGGGUAAUAAGUCCGUGGUGAAAGCCCCCGACUCAAUCGGGGAACUGCCAUAGAUACUGUUAUUCUUGAGUGUGGUUGAGGCGGAUGGAAUAUGACAUGUAGCGGUGAAAUGCUUAGAUAUGUCAUAGAACACCGAUCGCGAAGGCAGUCCGCCAAACCAUUACUGACACUGAAACACGAAAGUGCGGGGAUCAAACAGG
rnacentral:rRNA from 1 species